GGGCCCGCACAAGCGGUGGAGCAUGUGGUUUAAUUCGAUGAUACGCGAGGAACCUUACCAGGGCUUAAAUGUAAGUUGCAUAAGCUAGAGAUAGCUUUUUUCUUCGGACUACUUACAAGGUGCUGCAUGGUUGUCGUCAGCUCGUGCCGUGAGGUGUCAGGUUAAGUCCUAUAACGAGCGCAACCCCUGUUGUUAGUUGCCAGCGGGUAAUGCCGGGAACUCUAGCGAAACUGCCGGUGCAAACCGAGAGGAAGGUGGGGAUGACGUCAAAUCAUCACGGCCCUUACGUCCUGGGCCACACACGUGCUACAAUGGCCGGUACAGAGAGCAGCCACUACGCGAGUAGGAGCGAAUCUAUAAAACCGGUCUCAGUUCGGAUCGCAGUCUGCAACUCGACUGCGUGAAGCUGGAAUC
rnacentral:rRNA from 1 species